rnacentral:rRNA from 1 species
CAGCAGCCGCGGUAAUACCGGCGGCCCGAGUGGCGGUCACUAUUAUUGGGCUUAAAGCGUCCGUAGCCGGGUUGGGAAGUCCUCCGGGAAAUCUGGCCGCUUAAAGGUCAGAAUGCCGGAGGAUAAUCCCAGCCUAGGGAGCGGGAGAGGCCGAGGGUAUUCCCGGGGUAGGGGUGAAAUCCUAUAAUCCCGGGAGGACCACCUGUGGCGAAGGCGCUCGGCUGGAACGCGUCCGACGGUGAGGGACGAAGGCCAGGGGAGCAAACCGGAUUAGAUACCCGGGUAGUCCUGGCUGUAAACGAUGCGGACUUUGUGUCGGACAAGCUAUGAGCUUGUCCGGUGCCGGAGGGAAACCGUUAAGUCCGCCGCCUGGGGAGUACGGCCGCAAGGCUGAAACUUAAAGGAAUUGGCGGG